ACAAAAAGAAGAACACCUCAACCUAAAGUGAGAGCUGGGAGUUCAGUUUUAUUUGGGGCUCACUGAAGACAUUAGUCCAGGAAACUGCUUCUUGGAGAGCUCUGAGGAACUGCUCCAAAGAGAUAGGGGGUGAGCUCUGCAAAAAGAAGUCUGACUUAAACAGCAAAGCUGCUAUGGUUAUGGAUGUGCUUCAGAUGAUAAUCAAAUAAGGAGUUCUGAUGCUCAAGGGAACAUAGCUGGUGACAUGGUAUCUAGCUUCAACAUUUACAUUCUUCCCACUAUGCUUGCUGCUCUCUAAAUCUGGAAAGAUUUGUGUGCCAUUACAGAUUAGCCCUAGAAUGUGCCAAGACUAUCUCUGUGGGAUGCAGCCUGGUAUCAGUUUUUCAGUGGCUCCACUUGAACCCAACAGUUUGGACUGUUGCAGUCAGAUUAUCAUGUGAAGCAAGGUUAGCCAGAGGGAUAUCGUGGAAGAAGGCUGGGCUGUGUCCCUCUUCUUUUUUUCCUGGGCAAUGUGGGACUUAAGGACUGUUGAAGAUCCCUUCCUUCAACUUUUUAUAGAACUGGAGACCAUCAUUUUACCCUUAUUCUCUGUGUACAGUGAAAAACAUAGCUAUCCUCUUGGGACUGUCAGAGCCACUCUUGUUACUGAAUUUCCUUCUUUCUCCAAAAGGGAGGAGGGCUUCUCCUGUACUUGGCAGACAUCCUUGGAGACAUUUUGUCCAUUGAUGUGGUUCAUGUAUUGUGGUCAGACCAUUACCCAGACUAGGAUAACCUAAUUCCAAACCAACUGACCCAUCAAACCAUCUGAGUUUUUAAUCUUCAUAUGUGUGAAUGUCUACUUUUGGGACUAAACGUCAGUAUGAAAAUGCCCUCUUCUUAUGAACAAAGUGACUAUAUAAUUCGUCAUCUAAAUUUGGACACUUGUUCAUCUCAGAGCGAAUUCUGCUAGGUAACUUUUCUUCCAGCACAUUCUUCUUAAAAUAACGCUUAACCAUUGCUACUGAUGCUUCCUUAGUAGAUUUAAUCUUCUGGCUCUCAUGGGGUCAGUGAUGUCACUGUGACCCCCAUGGAGAAUGAGAAAUGUCAACAAACAAACCGGUUUGUCCAAGAAACAUGUUCAUCAUCAUCUUACUUGGACGUUUAGUACUUAAUUUCCCACUAAAUAUACUACUUUAUUUCUACUGAAUUCGUUGCUGUCAAAAGGAUUUAUUGCCGUAUAAACACAUUAUCAAUAAAAUAAAUAGUUGUAGAUUUACAGUAAAUGGCCAAACCACCAUGAGACAACUUAAUCUCUAGACUCUCUCACAUAUGUUACAGGAAUGUCCCUGUAUCUCAUGUUUCUCACUGACCCCAGCAUCUCUCUGGCUCUGACGAAGUUCUCUUAAAUCUACCCCGGCUUAUUUUAAUGCAAUAAUCACUAAUUAUGCUUUGUUUAAAAAUGAAAAAAAUCCAGAAAAAAAGGAUAAACCACAUGAGAUACUGGACAAUAAGCAUAAACCAGUGCAGUCUCAAUGAAAUGAGACCUAGAGAAAUCGCACUGACGAAGAACACAAGUGCUGCUCACCACUAUUCUAGGAUCUACCCAAAAGCUCUGGACGCUUUCCAGAAUAUCUUCAAUUAGUGUUCUGAAAAUGUGACACCUGAUGAAUUAAUUAUUCACGCCAGGCUGAGCUCUUUUAUUAUUUUUUAUGUAAAAAAAGCCAAAGUAAUAUUUAAUGAGGUAGAGUCUGAGGUGGACAUCAUCAAAUAAAACUUGCAUAUUAGAAGUGAAAAUUAUUAGUAUUUUUAUAAAGUAGUUAUGAAGUUAAGUUACUUUGUGUUUAUCUCCAUGCUUUCUGAGAUACUGUUGCUGUUAAAAGUUCUUUGUACUUAGAACAGCUAAAGUCAAAAUAGUGACAAUACCAAAUGCUGGUGGGAACGUGGAGAAACUGGAUUUCUGAGGUAGCCGUCCUGGAAAAUAGUUUGGCAGUUUCUUUAUCACAUUAAAAAUGCAUUUACCAUAUAGCCAGCAAUGGCACUUGGGCAUUUAUCCCAGAGAAAUAAAAACUUAUGGUCAAACAAAAACAUGUCCAUGGAUGUCUCUAGAAGCUUUAUUUCUAAUAGCUAAAAAUCAGAAAAGCUGCAGUGUCCUUCAGUGGUUAAGUAAGCUGUGGUUCAAACUUACCAUGGAAUAGUACUCAAAACAGAAAGGAGUGAACUACUGAUCAUUGCAACGACUUGGAUGGAUCUCCAGAGCGUUAUGCUGAGUUUAAAAAGCUAAUUCCAAAAGGUCACAUACUGCUUGAUUCUGUUUCUGCAGUAUUCUCGAAAGGACAAAAUUAUAGAUACGUAGAAUAUAUUGAUGGUAGCCAGGGGUUAAACGCAGGGGUGAGCGCACUGUAAAGUAGCAAGAAGGAGUUCCUUGAUGGUGAUAAACAGUUGUGUGUUUAGUAUGUUGUGUAGUGAGUAUAUGAAUCUACAUACACGAUAACAUUACAUAGAAGUACAUACACGCACACACACACGAGUGCACUUUCCUGGUUUUAAUAUCACAUUACAGUUACUGAUAUUUUGAAUUAUUUGGUAAAUUGUUUAUUUCUGUUUCAUUACUCUGUAGCUGUGUAAGAUAAUGAUUGGGGGAAACUGGGUGAAGGGUACUAU